UUGAGAGUUUGAUCCUGGCUCAGAACGAACGCUGGCGGCAGGCUUAACACAUGCAAGUCGAACGGUCUCUUCGGAGGCAGUGGCAGACGGGUGAGUAACGCGUGGGAAUCUACCCAUCUCUACGGAACAACAGUUGGAAACGACUGCUAAUACCGUAUACGCCCUUCGGGGGAAAGAUUUAUCGGAGAUGGAUGAGCCCGCGUUGGAUUAGCUAGUUGGUGGGGUAAAGGCCUACCAAGGCGACGAUCCAUAGCUGGUCUGAGAGGAUGAUCAGCCACACUGGGACUGAGACACGGCCCAGACUCCUACGGGAGGCAGCAGUGGGGAAUAUUGGACAACGG
rnacentral:rRNA from 12 species